GACGAAGGAUGCAAGCGUUAUCCGGAUUCAUUGGGGUUAAAGGGAGCGUAGGUGGCCAAAUAAGUCAGUGGUGAAAUCUCUGGGCUUAACCCAGAAAUUGCCAUUGAUACUGUAUGGCUUGAGUGUAGUUGCCGUUGGCGGAAUAUGACAUGUAGUGGUGAAAUACAUAGAGAUGUCAUAGAACACCGAUUGCGAAGGCAGCUGACGAAACUAUAACUGACACUGAGGCUCGAAAGUGCGGGGAUCAAACAGG
rnacentral:rRNA from 1 species